GUUGUUAAAAUAAAAUUGAGUCGUUCUACUGUCGUUGAGAUUGCAACACAUAUUUGUCUCUGUUUCUACGUGGUGCGUUAAAAACGUUGAAAAUUUUUAACAAAAAUAAAUUAUUUUGUGAAAAUAUAUCUUUUAAAUUUUUUAUCUUUCAAAGUAAAAAUAUUUGAGAAUAAUAGUUUAUUGUGGUGGUAAAACAUAAAUAAUAAAAGUAACGAGAAAGAAAAACGGGAAAAUUCUUUAAAAAAAACGUUAGUUAUUUUUCGGACAAAUUAAAUAUAAAAAUUUUCAAAAUAAAGUGUGAGCAGUGGUGCUGUUUACAAUUGUGAAAUUGUUUAAUUAUAAAAUUAAAAAAAAAGCAGCAGCAACAGCAGCAAGCAACACGACAACACCAGCUGUAGUUUAUUGACAACAAUUUUCAAAACGUUUUAUAAAGUUUAUAAAUAAAAAAAGAAUAUUUUACUGUUGGGUAAGUUGAUUAA